CAUUUUUCCACCAUGAAUAAACAGUUUGGACAAGCAAGGACUGUCUCCUUUGUCAAGAACCAGUGUCCCUGUCAGGGGUGAAGUGGCAUCCUGAUAGCCCAGCCGUGAGGUGAAACGCAUACCUCUCCUCUUCCUCCCUGCCCCCACUUACUUUGUCUCUCUUCUGGAUUCCUUGAGUUACUCCUGGAUAUGUACUCACAUCUGAAGAUUUGGACCUAGGAGUCUCAGCUGAGUAGUAUUCCCUCUGUACCACAGUUUCAUUAUCUACUCAUCAGUGGAAGAACAUUUAGUUGUUUGCAUUUCCUCAGUAUUGGGAAGAGAACAGCAACAAGCACGGCUGGCCCUUGGCUUUAAUGAACAAAAGAAUGAAGAAAAGCUCCGAAGCCCAACUUCAGUGAACACAAGGUCCAGAUGUCUGUGAGAGGAAUCUCUGUUUUAGACAGUGGCAGAACAGCCAAAAGGGAGUCAUCCCAGGCCUUUGAUGUAUGUUGGGCCCUCUUGCUCACUGCCUUCUGUUCUUACUUGACUCUUUGCUGCCAUGAAUGUCAAGCCUGCCAUGGCUUGGCUCAAUCUUGGCCAGCAGAAGAUGGAGGGAAAGGCUUCCCGGAACACAUGGAGCAAAAUCAGGAAAGUGACCCAAGUGAAGGUAAGCCCAGAAGAAGAUUCGCAGCAUGGCCCUUCCAGCUGGAUGCUCUCCUGCGAUGACUUCAUGGCUUCUGGGCUAAGUGACCAACACUGACUGGGAGGGACUUUUACCCACAUUUUUGUCUUCUGGCUCUUGCUCUGCAUAGACUCACUUUGCAAAAAUUCAAACAACAGCAGCAAA